rnacentral:sRNA from 1 species
GCCGGGUGUAGUGGCACACGCCUUUAAUCCCAGCACUUGGGAGGCAGAGGCAGGCAGAUUUCUGUGAGUUCAAGGCCAGCCUGGUCUACAUAAGGAGUUCCAGGCCAGCUGGGGCUACAGGGAGACCAUGUCUCAAAAAAGACAAAAAAUAUAAAAAGUUAAAAACAUUGUUUCACGAUAUAGUCUAGGCUGGUCAGGAACUUGCUAUGUAGACCAAGCUGGCCUCAAAUUCACAAAGAUCUUCCUGCCUUU